GGGCUGGCUUUAGCCCAGCAGUUCCUUCAAGUCUGGCUUCCCAACCGCCCGGGCUGAUUAGACUGGUGGUUCCAGACCCGCGGGUGCUCUCCAGUCCUUUU
rnacentral:vault_RNA from 2 species